rnacentral:rRNA from 1 species
GGAGUUAGCCGGUGCUUCUUCUGCGAGUAACGUCACAGAUGUAAGGUAUUAACUUACACCCUUUCCUCCUCGCUGAAAGUGCUUUACAACCCGAAGGCCUUCUUCACACACGCGGCAUGGCUGCAUCAGGGUUUCCCCCAUUGUGCAAUAUUCCCCACUGCUGCCUCCCGUAGGAGUCUGGGCCGUGUCUCAGUCCCAGUGUGGCUGAUCAUCCUCUCAGACCAGCUAGGGAUCGUCGCCUAGGUGAGCCUUUACCUCACCUACUAGCUAAUCCCACCUGGGCUUAUCCAUCAGCGCAAGGCCCGAAGGUCCACUGCUUUCCCCCGUAGGGCGUAUGCGGUAUUAGCAGUCGUUUCCAACUGUUAUCCCCCACAAAUGGGCAAAUUCCCAGGCAUUACUCACCCGUCCGCCGCUCGUCAUCUUCAAAAGCAAGCUUUUGAAAUGUUACCGCUCGACUUGCAUGUGUUAGGCCUGCCGCCAGCGUUCAAUCUGAGCCAGAAUCAAACUCUGA